rnacentral:rRNA from 1 species
UACAGAGGGUGCAAGCGUUGUUCGGAAUUAUUGGGCGUAAAGGGCGCGUAGGCGGUGCGGUAAGUCACCUGUGAAACCUCUGGGCUUAACUCAGAGCCUGCAGGCGAAACUGCCGUGCUGGAGUGUGGGAGAGGUGCGUGGAAUUCCUGGUGUAGCGGUGAAAUGCGUAGAUAUCAGGAGGAACACCUGUGGCGAAAGCGGCGCACUGGACCACAACUGACGCUGAGGCGCGAAAGCUAGGGGAGCAAACAGG